UUCCGGUUGAUCCUGCCGGAGGCUACCGCUAUUGGAGUUCGAUUAAGCCAUGCGAGUCGCGAGAAAUUAGAUUCUCGGCGUACCGCUCAGUAACACGUGGGUAACCUGCCCUAUGCUGGAUAAUAACCUCGGGAAACUGAGAAUAAUGAUCCAUAGUUCACUACGCCUGGAACGGUGAGUGGAUGAAAGCUCCGGCGGCAUAGGAUGGGCCUGCGGCGUAUCAGGUUGUAGGGGGUGUAACGUACCCUCUAGCCCUCUACGCGUACGGGUGUUGGGAGACAUAGCCCGGAGAUGGAUUCUGAGACACGAAUCCAGACCCUACGGGGUGCAGCAGGCGCGAAAACUUGGCAAUGCGAGAAAUCGUGACCAGGGAACUCCAAGUGCAUGGGGUAAGACCCAUGCUUUUCUUGACUCUAAAUAGGUCUUGGAAUAAGGGGUGGGUAAGGACGGUGCCAGCCGCCGCGGUAAUACCGGCGCCUCAAGUGGUAGUCGCUUUUAUUGGGCCUAAAACGUCCGUAGCCGGUCUGAUACAUUCGUGGGUAAAUCAACCAGCUUAACUGGUUGAAUUCUGCGAGGACGGUCAGACUUGGGACCGGGAGAGGUGUGGGGUACGCUCAGGGUAGGGGUAAAAUCCUGUCAUCCUGAGCGGACCACCUGUUGCGAAGGCGCCACACUAGAACGGAUCCGACGGUCAGGGACGAAGCCUAGGGGCACGAACCGGAUUAGAUACCCGGGUAGUCCCAGCUGUAAACUAUGCAAACUCAGUGAUGCAUUGGCUUGUGGCCAAUGCAGUGCUGCAGGGAAGCCGUUAAGUUUGCCGCCUGGGAAGUACGUACGCAAGUAUGAAACUUAAAGGAAUUGGCGGGGGAGCACCACAAGGGGUGAAGCCUGCGGUUCAAUUGGAGUCAACGCCGGA
rnacentral:rRNA from 1 species